rnacentral:lncRNA from 1 species
UUCCCUUUUGUCCAUCUAUUUUCUAGGCUAUGAGUAACUGUCAUAAUACCAACUAUACAGCUUUUGCUACUUCUUUGAAGAACAAUGGAGAAAGGCUUGCUACAUAUCAACACCAGACGAUGAUCUACUUUGUUGUGAGCUCCAAGUUUAUUGGCUUGUGGCUGGAUGUUCCCCCAAAGCUUCAUGCAUUCACAGGUAGGGCUU